GAUGAACGGCUGGCGGCGUGCCUAACACAUGCAAGUCGAACGGACUUACAUUGAAGCCUAGCGAUAUGUAAGUUAGUGGCGGACGGGUGAGUAACGCGUGGGUAACCUGCCUUGUACUGGGGGACAACAGUUGGAAACGACUGCUAAUACCGCAUAAGCGCACAGCUUCGCAUGAAGCAGUGUGAAAAACUCCGGUGGUACAAGAUGGACCCGCGUCUGAUUAGCUGGUUGGUGAGGUAACGGCCCACCAAGGCGACGAUCAGUAGCCGGACUGAGAGGUUGAACGGCCACAUUGGGACUGAGAUACGGCCCAGACUCCUACGGGAGGCAGCAGUGGGGAAUAUUGGGCAAUGGGCGCAAGCCUGACCCAGCAACGCCGCGUGAAGGAAGAAGGCUUUCGGGUUGUAAACUUCUUUUAAGAGGGAAGAGCAGAAGACGGUACCUCUAGAAUAAGCCACGGCUAACUACGUG
rnacentral:rRNA from 1 species